GCACAAGCGGUGGAGCAUGUGGUUUAAUUCGACGCAACGCGAAGAACCUUACCUACUCUUGACAUCUACGGAAGACUGCAGAGAUGCGGUUGUGCCUUCGGGAACCGUAAGACAGGUGCUGCAUGGCUGUCGUCAGCUCGUGUUGUGAAAUGUUGGGUUAAGUCCCGCAGCGAGCGCAACCCCUAUCCUUAGUUGCCAGCACGUAAUGGUGGGAACUCUAGGGAGACUGCCGGUGAUAAACCGGAGGAAGGUGGGGACGACGUCAAGUCAUCAUGGCCCUUACGAGUAGGGCUGCACACGUGCUACAAUGGUACGUACAGAGGGAGGCAAGCUGGCGACAGUGAGCGGAUCUCUUAAAGCGUAUCGUAGUCCGGAUCGCAGUCUGCAACUCGACUGCGUGAAGUCGGAAUCGCUAGUAAUCGCAAAUCAGAAUGUUGCGGUGAAUACGUUCCCGGGC
rnacentral:rRNA from 1 species